rnacentral:rRNA from 1 species
UGGCGAACGGGUGAGUAACACGUGGGCAACCUGCCCAAAANAGGGGGAUAACACUUGGAAACAGGUGCUAAUACCGCAUAACCAUAGUUACCGCAUGGUAACUAUGUAAAAGGUGGCUAUGCUACCGCUUUUGGAUGGGCCCGCGGCGCAUUAGCUAGUUGGUGGGGUAAAGGCUUACCAAGGCAAUGAUGCGUAGCCGAACUGAGAGGUUGAUCGGCCACAUUGGGACUGAGACACGGCCCAAACUCCUACGGGAGGCAGCAG